UUUUAGAGUUUGAUUCCUGGCUCAGGACGAACGCUGGCGGCGUGCNUAAUACAUGCAAGUCGAGCGAACAGAGAAGGAGCUUGCUCCUUCGACGUUAGCGGCGGACGGGUGAGUAACACGUGGGCAACCUACCUUAUAGUUUGGGAUAACUCCGGGAAACCGGGGCUAAUACCGAAUAAUCUGUUUCACCUCAUGGUGAAACACUGAAAGACGGUUUCGGCUGUCGCUAUAGGAUGGGCCCGCGGCGCAUUAGCUAGUUGGUGAGGUAACGGCUCACCAAGGCGACGAUGCGUAGCCGACCUGAGAGGGUGAUCGGCCACACUGGGACUGAGACACGGCCCAGACUCCUACGGGAGGCAGCAGUAGGGAAUCUUCCACAAUGGGCGAAAGCCUGAUGGAGCAACGCCGCGUGAGUGAAGAAGGAUUUCGGUUCGUAAAACUCUGUUGUAAGGGAAGAACAAGUACAGUAGUAACUGGCUGUACCUUGACGGUACCUUAUUAGAAAGCCACGGCUAACUACGUGCCAGCAGCCGCGGUAAUACGUAGGUGGCAAGCGUUGUCCGGAAUUAUUGGGCGUAANACGCGCGCAGGUGGUUUCUUAAGUCUGAUNUGAAAGCCCACNNNUCAACCGUGGAGGGUCAUGGAAACUGGGAGACUGAGUCAGAAGAGNNNNG
rnacentral:rRNA from 1 species